UGAUACUAGGGGCGAAAGCUCAGGCAUUUCAUGCUUGCAUGAAUAUGCCUGAAUUUGAGCCCCGUCAAAACAUGAGCAUGGAAACCGGCAGGUUGGAAUGCGAAUGUUUUUCUGAAUUGCGGGAGCCUGCAGGGCGGAGCAAUUCAGGGGGGAUAUCA
rfam:Blautia sp. An46 An46_contig_6, whole genome shotgun sequence.